GACGAACGCUGGCGGCGUGCCUAAUACAUGCAAGUUGAGCGCUGAAGGUUGGUACUUGUACCAACUGGAUGAGCAGCGAACGGGUGAGUAACGCGUGGGGAAUCUGCCUUUGAGCGGGGGACAACAUUUGGAAACGAAUGCUAUACCGCAUAAAAACUUUAAACACAAGUUUUAAGUUUGAAAGAUGCAAUUGCAUCACUCAAAGAUGAUCCCGCGUUGUAUUAGCUAGUUGGUGAGGUAAAGGCUCACCAAGGCGAUGAUACAUAGCCGACCUGAGAGGGUGAUCGGCCACAUUGGGACUGAGACACGGCCCAAACUCCUACGGGAGGCGGCAGUAGGGAAUCUUCGGCAAUGGACGAAAGUCUGACCGAGCAAAGCCGCGUGAGUGAAGAAGGUUUUCGGAUCGUAAAACUCUGUUGGUAGAGAAGAACGUUGGUGAGAGUGGAAAGCUCAUCAAGUGACGGUAACUACCCAGAAAGGGACGGCUAACUACGUG
rnacentral:rRNA from 1 species